GUCCCUGCCACAGGGCAGGCCUCCUGGUGCAGGGUGGGCCUCAUGCUUCUUGCCUCACUAUAGUGGGAGGGAGAAGUUCCUGUGCUUCCCCACUGCAUAGCAAAGAAAAAACUGUAGAGUAUUACCUUAAAAAAGGGGGAAAGGAGAGCUUCUCUAUCUCCUUAUCCUGCUGCUGAAGCAGGAAGACACCCUGAGAGCAACAUUCACCCAUUUAAGAGCUGAUUGCUGUCCUCUCCCCACCCUGCUGAGGGCCAGGCUUGCUCUCCAUCACAGGUGGCGAUGGGCCUUCUUAACACAGGUUUGGGGAUGAAGAGCCCAUUUUUCCUCCUCACAGGAAAUAGCCUGAUUUUUCAGCUAGCAGGCUACUUGAGAGAGAGCUGUGAGCUGCAUAGUGGCAUGGGAGCCACUGGGCUAUAAAGGUCUGCAAGCUGAAUCUGCAGGAGUACAGCAGCAUGGCAGGAGGAGCCUGGGGUAUGCAGGUGGCUUGCGUUGUUUGAACAUUUUGUUUGCCUAUAAAUCAGCUUGGAAGAUAAUAUUCAAAUCAACGUGGAGAGUUAAAAGAUGAUGAACAGACUAACAGGAGGACACAGAUGUCUGCCUGGAGCAAGCGACGAGGAGCUGUGGAUUCCUGUCUCCUCAACCUGCUCCCAGUCAAAGGGCAGAACACAUCCGGAGAGUGGUGCCGUUUGCCCAGGGCACUCUUCCGCAAGGCCAGAGUGGUGUUGCUGUGGGAAAUGUAACGGAGGCUGCUCAGAGCCCUCACUGGGUGACACACAUAAUCACAUCUGCAUCACACAGGGACAUUGCAAACCUGGCGUGCCAGCACAAGACCCAGGAACAGACCUUAAUCCUAUCAGUCAUUCUCCAGCCUGCUUCCCAUUGUGCUGUGCCAACCGGGUCUAUGUGCUGGGCACUUACUGGCUGCUGGCCCUAUGUGAGUGCAUGAUUCUGACAAGUUUUGUGGAAAAUGGAGCAGCAUCAGUGUGACUUCUUUUCCUGACACUGUAAAGAGAAAAGACUUUCUCUUAAGUCCCCUGUGAGUUUUCACAUAAACUGUCUUUGUGCCAAAGCAGUUAAUGCUUGUGUGUGCAAAGCUGGCUUUUAAAGGCAGAUAUACUCUUGUUUUAGUCUUUCAGGGCUCAUUUUAUGAUGGCCAGGCUGCUCUUUGUUUUCAUAUGUGGCUGUAUGUACAUAGUUUUCUGCUGAAGCUUCUCAGUGUUGUUUUUAACCUGAGUGCUAAGCUGAAUGAAGUCAAGAAACUGUGUAUUACUCAUCAAGAUGAUGCCAAGGUCACAGAAGCUUUGCGUGAGUUUUACGUUCGUCAAAGUCCUCAAUUAUUCCUGAUUUGCAAGUCUGUCAAGAAAAUCUCUUCCCUGAAGCACAGUGCGAAUUUACAAAAGCAAAAGAAGAAGCACAACAGAAUUGCCUCUCAAAGCACGGGGAGCAAAUUAAGAGUCUUUGGUUUUGAAUCUUUUGCAUUAUAUACCUUUUUGAAAAAAAAAAUCCCAAAGAAAAGAACAAAACAUGUUUUCCGUACUGCUAACACUUAAAGAUCCUGAAUUACUUUACCUCCACUUGACUAUUGAACCCUUCUCAUCCACCAGUAGCAAGAAGACAAUACAAGCAUAAGAACAGCAAAUGUGGCAGAAAAAUGGGAGAAGACAACUGAUUCCUGUGUGUAGUUUUGAAAGAAAAGAGUAGAACUGAAGACAGAAUCAGGUAUGCAGACAUACUGCAGCUUCAUACCAUGACCCUAAGCACAAAUGUAACCCUACAGGAAUUCUUGGGAAUUUGUAUCUGGAAGAAAAGCUUGGUCUCCAUUUCUAUAAUGAAGUGAUAAAACAAAUAACAUUGCUGAAAUAAACAUCUAGAGAGGCUGUCUAGGAAAAGUGACAGACUACGAAAUGGU